rnacentral:lncRNA from 1 species
GAAGUGUGAAGCAAUGGGCAUAAAGAGACUAGAGAACCAGAAAUAGCAAGUGGAAGGAUGGAAUGAAGAACUGGACAACUGGAUGCUGAUGCUACAACACAUGUGGAAGCAGUGAAAUAAGAGGGAUCAGCAGAAGGAAGCCCUUCUUCUCACCCCUUGUAUCACCUAUCUUAACCAGUAAAUGGAUGUGAAUUACAGAGGUUAGAGCACCCUGAUGGAUUGAUAGAAUUUUGAUUUCAAGUAGGAAGUAGAUAAGGGUAUAAUGAAUUAUGAAGAUAUUGUGUUCAACAAACAUUCAGUAGCAUAGGUAGGAAUAGACAAGAGGAG